rnacentral:rRNA from 1 species
GACGAACGCUGGCGGCGCGCCUAACACAUGCAAGUCGAACGAGAGAUGAGGAGCUUGCUCUUCAAAUCGAGUGGCGAACGGGUGAGUAACGCGUGAGGAACCUGCCUCAAAGAGGGGGACAACGGCUGGAAACGGUCGCUAAUACCGCAUGAAGUGUUCGGAUGGCAUCAUCUGAACAUCAAAGAUUUAUCGCUGAAAGAUGGCCUCGCGUCUGAUUAGCUAGUUGGUGAGGUAACGGCCCACCAAGGCGACGAUCAGUAGCCGGACUGAGAGGUUGACCGGCCACAUUGGGACUGAGAUACGGCCCAGACUCCUACGGAGGCAGCAGUGGGGAAUAUUGGGCAAUGGCGCAAGCCUGACCCGGCAACGCCGCGUGAAGGAAGAAGGCUUUCGGGUGUAACUCUUUGUCAGGACGAGUAGAAGACGGUACCUGACGAAUAAGCCACGGCUAACUACGUG